rnacentral:rRNA from 1 species
GCCAGACUCCUACGGGAGGCAGCAGUGGGGAAUAUUGCACAAUGGGGGGAACCCUGAUGCAGCGACGCCGCGUGGGUGAAGGAGCACCUCGGUGCGUAAAGCCCUCUCGGCAGGGAAGAAAAGCGAACAGGUUCGCCUGGACGGUACCUGACUAAGAAGCCCCGGCUAACUACGUGCCAGCAGCCGCGGGAAUACGUAGGGGGCAAGCGUUAUCCGGAUUCACUGGGUGUAAAGGGAGCGUAGACGGCGACGCAAGUCUGGAGUGAAAGCCCGGGGCCCAACCCCGGGACUGCUCUGGAAACUGCGUCGCUGGAGUACGGGAGGGGCAGGCGGAAUUCCUGGUGUAGCGGUGAAAUGCGUAGAUAUCAGGAGGAACACCGGUGGCGAGGGCGGCCUGCUGGACUGCGACUGACGUUGAGGCCCGAAAGCGUGGGGAGCAAACAGGAUUAGAUACCCUGGUACAA